UACGUAGGCAGCGAGCGUUGUUCGGAUUUACUGGGCGGAAAGGGUGUGUAGGCGGUUAUUUAAGUUUGGUGUGAAAUCUCCCGGCUCAACCGGGAGGGUGCGCCGAAUACUGAAUGACUUCGAGUGCGGGAGAGGAGAGUGGAAUUCCUGGUGUAGCGGUGAAAUGCGCAGAUAUCAGGAGGAACACCUAUUGCGAAGGCAGCUCGCUGGGACGUAACUGACGCUGAGACGCGAAAGCGUGGGGAGCAAACAGG
rnacentral:rRNA from 1 species